rnacentral:rRNA from 1 species
AGUGGGGAAUAUUGGACAAUGGGCGCAAGCCUGAUCCAGCAAUGCCGCGUGAGUGAUGAAGGCCUUCGGGUUGUAAAGCUCUUUCGCACGCGAGGAUGAUGACGCUAGCGUGAGAAGAAGCCCCGGCUAACUUCGUGCCAGCAGCCGCGGUAAUACGAAGGGGGCGAGCGUUGUUCGGAUUUACUGGGCGUAAAGGGCGCGUAGGCGGCGAUGUAAGUCAGGCGUGAAAGCCCCGGGCUCAACCUGGGAAUUGCGCUUGGGACUACAUUGCUGGAGUUCGGGAGAGGAGCGUGGAAUUCCCAGU